rnacentral:rRNA from 1 species
UACAGAGGGGGCAAGCGUUGUUCGGAAUUACUGGGCGUAAAGGGCGCGUAGGCGGCCUGUUAAGUCGAACGUGAAAUCCCCGGGCUCAACCCGGGAACUGCGUCCGAUACUGGCAGGCUUGAAUCCGGGGGAGGGAUGCGGAAUUCCAGGUGUAGCGGUGAAAUGCGUAGAUAUCUGGAGGAACACCGGUGGCGAAGGCGGCAUCCUGGACCGGCAUUGACGCUGAGGCGCGAAAGCGUGGGGAGCAAACAGG